GGUCAGCGACUUAUAUUCAGUGGCAAGGUUAACCAUCUAGGGGAGCCGUAGGGAAACCGAGUCUUAACUGGGCGUUCAGUCUCUGGAUAUAGACCCGAAACCAGGUGAUCUAGCCAUGGGCAGGUUGAAGGUUGAGUAACAUCAACUGGAGGACCGAACCGACUAAUGUUGAAAAAUUAGCGGAUGACUUGUGGCUAGGGGUGAAAGGCCAAUCAAACCUGGAGAUAGCUGGUUCUCCCCGAAAGCUAUUUAGGUAGCGCCUCGGACGAAUACUACUGGGGGUAGAGCACUGUUAAGGCUACUACUAAGUGGGAAACGAUGUGGGAAGGCUCAGACAGCCAGGAUGUUGGCUUAGAAGCAGCCAUCAUUUAAAGAAAGCGUAAUAGCUCACUGGUCGAGUCGGCCUGCGCGGAAGAUGUAACGGGGCUAAGUAGUAAACCGAAGCUGCGGCAAUAUACUUUUGUAUAUUGGGUAGGGGAGCGUUCUGUAAGCGGUUGAAGGUGUGUGGUAACGCAUGCUGGACGUAUCAGAAGUGCGAAUGCUGACAUGAGUAACGAUAAAGGGGGUGAAAAACCUCCUCGCCGGAAGACCAAGGGUUCCUGUCCAACGUUAAUCGGGGCAGGGUAAGUCGACCCCUAAGGCGAGGCCGAAAGGCGUAGUCGAUGGGAAACGGGUUAAUAUUCCCGUACUUCUUACAAUUGCGAUGGGGGGACGGAGAAGGCUAGGUGGGCCUGGCGACGGUUGUCCAGGUUCAAGUGCGUAGGCUUAAGAGUUAGGUAAAUCCGGCUCU
rnacentral:rRNA from 1 species